ACCAAGGAGUUUAACAUGUGCGCGAGUCAUUGGGUGUUACGAAACCCAAAGGCGAAGUGAAGGUAAAGGUUCGGCUUGUCCGGACUGAGGUGAGAUUCUGUUGUCUUGCUCGUACUUUUCAAGUUGCGAACAGCGGGGAUAUCACCGGCCCGUCCCAUGACGUAGAUAUGUGAUCUCGUGUUGUGUGCACCGUUUAGGAGGAGCAAGAGCGCACACGUUGAGACCCGAAAGAUUGUGAACUGUGCUUGUGAAUGUUGAAGCCAUAGGAAACUCUGGUUGAGGACCGUAGGGAUUCUGACGUACAAAUCGAUCGUAUAACGUGAGUAUAGGGGCGAAAGACUAAUCGAACUAUCUAGUAGCUGGUUCCCUUCGAAGUUUCCUUCAGGAUAGCCGGUAUUUUGAGAAAUAAACAGUUUUAUCUGGUAAGAUGGAUGAUUAGAGGCAUUAAGGUGAAAUCAUCAUCAACCUAUUCUCAAACUAUAAAUGGGUGAGAACCUCAACUCGCUUAAUUGGAGUUUUGUAUUGAAUGUGAGUGCCAAGUGGGCCAUUUUUUGAUUAGUAGGACUGGCGCUGUGGGAUGAACUGAACGUUCGAUUAAGGUGCCUAACGUGACGCUCAUGCGAUACCACAAAAGGUGUUGGUUGGUCUAGACAGCAGGACCGUGGCCCUGGAAGUCGGAAGCCGUUAAGGAGUGUGUAACAACUCACCUGUCGAAUCAACCAGACCUGAAAAUUGACGGUGCUUGAGCGUUGAACCUAUAACGUACCGUUACUGUAAGCUGGGCCUAUGCUAUGUGAGGACAGGCUGCACUUGGUUCAGGCAUGGAGUAACGGCAACGAGUAGGCGGGUAGCCUUGACUAGCGGGAAGCCUAGGGGAAGCAACCACAGGCGAAGAUCUUUGUGUUUGUAGCAAAUAUUCAAGUGAGUACCUUGAAGGCCGAGGUGGAGAAGGGUCCCAUGGAAAAAGCAGUUGACCAUGGGUCAGGCGGUCCUAAGUGAUCCGGUAAAUCGGACCAGGGACGGGGAUGCCUGACAUUGUCCUUUCGAGGGCUUUGUUCAAUAAUCUGCAAAGUACUGUUGCAUUGCAGCCCCCUGUAGCAAAAAGGAAUCGGGUUAAUAUUCCACACCCUGUCCACGGAGAUCGGUGCGUGUCGGAAAUUUGGUACGUCGUGCGCCCAGCGCGGUAACGCAGCCGACCUCGGAGACCUCGUUGAGAGUUCUGGGAAGAAUUCUCUUUUCUUUGCUAGGAGUGCAUCCACCCCCGGAUAAUCGGCUUGUUCGGAGAUAGGGGGCUAGCCUUUGUAAAGCAAUACCAUUUUUGUGGUGUCCGGAACGCUCUUCUCAGCUCUUGAAAAUCCGAGCGAAGCAGCAUAAUUUUCGUGGCAGGCCGUACCCAUAUUCGCAGCAGGUCUCCAAGGUGAACAGCUUUUGGCG
rnacentral:ncRNA from 1 species